AUUGAACGCUGGCGGCAGGCCUAACACAUGCAAGUCGAGCGGAUGAAGGGAGCUUGCUCCUGGAUUCAGCGGCGGACGGGUGAGUAAUGCCUAGGAAUCUGCCUGGUAGUGGGGGAUAACGUCCGGAAACGGGCGCUAAUACCGCAUACGUCCUGAGGGAGAAAGUGGGGGAUCUUCGGACCUCACGCUAUCAGAUGAGCCUAGGUCGGAUUAGCUAGUUGGUGGGGUAAAGGCCUACCAAGGCGACGAUCCGUAACUGGUCUGAGAGGAUGAUCAGUCAACGGGGAAUGGGACCAGGGCCCAGCCCCCUGGGGGGGGCGGCGGGGGGAAAUUUGGAAAAAGGGGGGAAACCUGGACCCACCCUGCCGGGGGGUGGAAAGAGGGUCUGGGGAUGGUAAGCCCUUUUAGUUGGGAGGAAAGGGAAGAAAUUUAAUACCUUGCUGUUUUGACGUUCCAAAAAGAAUAAGCCCCGCCUACCUCCGU
rnacentral:rRNA from 1 species